AGGUGAACCCCCAGAAACUAAUAUCUGACAUUAGUGUGAAAAUAUCCUUGUCUUUCUCUAAACAAGUUCAGUUGUUCUUUCUUGUGUGCAUCUAUGGUACAAUUUAAUAGAUUAAAAUAAUUUAGAAUUAUUAGAGUGCUAACUUUUUAUGAAAAGACAAAUUGUAACUUGGACACAUCUCUCAUUACUAACAACAUAUUAAUGGGUCAUGUUUUCAGUGUUUUAAGUUACAAAACCUAAGUCAUACGAUUUUACACAUAAAAAAGGAAGAUAGGACAGAUUGCUUUUAUUUGCUUACAUUACUUUUUCUCUCAAUAACCUAAGCUCGUUGAAAGGGCUCAUAUUUAAAUCUUCAUUUAUCACUGAAAUAUUAAUUCAGGUUCUAAAUUACUGUUUCUUUUCAGUAACUGUUACAUUAAUGACUUAAACUAUGAGGAAUAGUUUUAUUAUAUAGUAAUUACAGUAACAUACUUAAUGAUACCUGUAUCACAUAAAACAACACAAUAUUUGCAAAAUUAUAAAAAUAAAAAUACGAAGAAACAAGAUGAAUUGGAGCCAUAGUAUUGAAUAAUACAAAUUAAUAAAUCUAGAAUAUUGAUAUAAUAAAUAACAAAACACUAAAAAUCAAGAAUAAAAUGUUAGUAGAGGCUAUACUGAGAAGAAUGAGAAGAAAAUCUCAUUCUCUAAUUUUAAAUAUAACUGAAGAUAGAAGUCUUUCAUAUAUGAUCAUUCUUUUUCCAAAAAAAAAAAGUACGAACAGGAGAGAUUGUGUCACAUAAACAAUGAUAUACUGAUGAGCUUUUCUCCUAAGCUGACAACACAUGAGAAUUAUUAACCCAUUUUUCUUAUUAUUAUAUGCCUCUGCCAAGAUAAUCUGCAUGCAGAAACCUGAUGAUUUUAAGGGAGUUUCCCACUUGAUCAGUGUUGUAGUGAAUGAGAUGCAUGAUAAAUAUGCUUCCAGAACAAGGGAAGAAGUAUGAUUUCAGAAAUGUCUCUGAAUACUUUGGAAGAGCAGAGUUACAUUAAAAGUCCCUCCAGAUUGUGUUACCUUCACCAAUAUUCUGGAAUACUGUGGGGCACUAGAAAACCUUGGAGCAAAGCAGAAAAUAAAAUCCUGUUUGGGACCUCAAAGAUGGCAGAUAAAGACAUAAAUUGAAAAGAUUUUGUAACACUGUGUACCCUGUAGGGAUUUGCACUUCAUUCUGAUGACUGUGUGUUUUUAGAAAUCCUUGUAAAUCCUGUGCUUACCAAAUAAAACAUCCCAGACCAGUCUGCUGUCGGCUGCU
rnacentral:lncRNA from 1 species